UACACAUGCAAGUCGAGCGGAGAGAGGUAGCUUGCUACCGAUCUUAGCGGCGGACGGGUGAGUAAUGCUUAGGAAUCUGCCUAUUAGUGGGGGACAACAUUUCGAAAGGAAUGCUAAUACCGCAUACGUCCUACGGGAGAAAGCAGGGGAUCUUCGGACCUUGCGCUAAUAGAUGAGCCUAAGUCGGAUUAGCUAGUUGGUGGGGUAAAGGCCUACCAAGGCGACGAUCUGUAGCGGGUCUGAGAGGAUGAUCCGCCACACUGGGACUGAGACACGGCCCAGACUCCUACGGGAGGCAGCAGUGGGGAAUAUUGGACAAUGGGCGCAAGCCUGAUCCAGCCAUGCCGCGUGUGUGAAGAAGGCCUUAUGGUUGUAAAGCACUUUAAGCGAGGAGGAGGCUACUCUAGUUAAUACCUAGAGAUAGUGGACGUUACUCGCAGAAUAAGCACCGGCUAACUCUGUGCCAGCAGCCGCGGUAAUACAGAGGGUGCAAGCGUUAAUCGGAUUUACUGGGCGUAAAGCGCGCGUGGCGGCUAAUUAAGUCAAAGGGGAAAACCCCGAGCUUAACUUGGGAAUUGCAUUCGAUACUGGUUAGCUAGAGUGUGGGAGAGGAUGGUAGAAUUCCAGGUGUAGCGGUGAAAUGCGUAGAGAUCUGGAGGAAUACCGAUGGCGAAGGCAGCCAUCUGGCCUAACACUGACGCUGAGUGC
rnacentral:rRNA from 1 species